AACGAACGCUGGCGGCAUGCCUAACACAUGCAAGUCGAACGAGACCUGCCGGUCUAGUGGCGCACGGGUGCGUACGGCGUGGGAACACGCCUGUAGGUUCCCAAUCACGGAGAGUAAUGUGACCUAAUACCGGAUGAUGUCUUCUGCCAAAAGAUUUAGCGCGGUUAGAUGGGCCAGAGUUGGAUUGGCCGGUUGGUAGGGUAAAGGCCUACCAAGGCGACGAUCUAUAGCUGGUCUGAGAGGAUGAUCAGCAACACCGGGACUAAGACGCGGCCCAGAAUCCUACGGAAUGGGGCAGUGGGUGAUACUGGAAAAUGGGGGGAAGCCUGAUGCAGCUCUGCCUGGAAAGUGAUGAAGGCCGUAGGGAAGUGAAGUCCUUUUACCCGAGAUGAUAAUGACGGUAUCGGGAGAAUAAGCACCGGCUAACUACGUG
rnacentral:rRNA from 1 species